rnacentral:rRNA from 1 species
ACUCCUACGGGAGGCAGCAGUGGGGAAUAUUGGACAAUGGGGCGCAAGCCUGAUCCAGCCACGCCGCGUGAGUGAUGAAGGCCUUCGGGUCGUAAAGACUCUGUGGGGAGGGACGAACGGCGCCAUGAAGAGUGGCGAUUGACGGUACCUCCUUAGCAAGCACCGGCUAACUUCGUGCCAGCAGCCGCGGUAAU